AACGAACGCUGGCGGCAUGCCUUACACAUGCAAGUCGAACGGUAACAGGUCUUCGGAUGCUGACGAGUGGCGAACGGGUGAGUAAUACAUCGGAACGUGCCCGAUCGUGGGGGAUAACGAAGCGAAAGCUUUGCUAGUACCGCAUAAGAUCUAAGGAUGAAAGCAGGGGACCGCAAGGCCUUGCGCGAACGGAGCGGCCGAUGGCAGAUUAGGUAGGUGGUGGGAUAAAAGCUUACCAAGCCGACGAUCUGUAGCUGGUCUGAGGGGACGACCAGCCACACUGGGACUGAGACACGGCCCAGACUCCUACGGGAGGCGGCAGUGGGGAAUUUUGGACAAUGGGCGAAAGCCUGAUCCAGCCAUGCCGCGUGCAGGAUGAAGGCCUUCGGGUUGUAAACUGCUUUUGUACGGAACGAAAAGACUCUGGUUAAUACCUGGGGUCCAUGACGGUACCGUAAGAAUAAGCACCGGCUAACUACGUGCCAGCAGCCGCAGUAAUAC
rnacentral:rRNA from 1 species